rnacentral:rRNA from 1 species
CCUAGCCCUUCAGAGGGGGACAACAGUUGGAAACGACUGCUAAUACCGCAUACGAUCUAACCUCGGCAUCGAGGAAAGAUGAAAGGUGGCCUCUAUUUAUAAGCUGUCACUGAAGGAGGGGAUUGCGUCUGAUUAGCUAGUUGGAGGGGUAACGGCCCACCAAGGCGAUGAUCAGUAGCCGGUCUGAGAGGAUGAACGGCCACAUUGGGACUGAGACACGGCCCAG